rnacentral:rRNA from 1 species
AAUAGAUACCCAGGUAGUCCACGCCGUAAACGUUGGAUACUAGGUGUGGCGUCCCGAUCAACGGAUGCCGUGCCGAAGCUAACGCAUUAAGUAUCCCGCCUGGGGAGUACGGCCGCAAGGCUAAAACUCAAAGGAAUUGACGGGUCCCCGCACAAGCGGCGGAGCAUGCGGCUUAAUUCGAUGCAACCCGAAGAACCUUACCUGGGUUUGAAAUCAUGGGAGAAGCUGUAGAAAUACAGUGUCCGUAAGGGCCCAUGACAGGUGGUGCAUGGCUGUCGUCAGCUCGUGUCGUGAGAUGUUGGGUUAAGUCCCGCAACGAGCGCAACCCUUGUCCUAUGUUGCCAGCGGUUCGGCCGGGGACUCAUAGGAGACUGCCGGGGAUAACUCGGAGGAAGGUGAGGACGACGUCAAGUCAUCAUGCCCCUUAUAUCCAGGGCUGCACGCAUGCUACAAUGGUCGGUACAACGGGCAGCGACCCCGCGAGGGUGAGCGAAUCCCACAAAGCCGGCCUCAGUUCGGAUUGGAGUCUGCAAC